rnacentral:snRNA from 1 species
UCUACUUGCAGCAGGACA